GAUCCUGGCUCAGAGUGAACGCUGGCGGCGUGCCUAAUACAUGCAAGUCGAACGGACAAGUAAGAGCUUGCUCUUAUGAGUUAGUGGCGCACGGGUGAGUAAUGUAUAGCUAAUCUGCCCUACACUAGAGGACAACAGUUGGAAACGACUGCUAAUACUCUAUACUCCUGUCUGACAUAAGUUAGAUAGGGAAAGUUUUUCGGUGUAGGAUGAGGCUAUAUUGUAUCAG
rnacentral:rRNA from 1 species